UGAAAAAGGCAGAGGUAGCAAUUGCUUGAGAAAUACUCUUAGAACCUGAUCUAGUUAAUACUAGCGUAGGAAGUCCUUUAUAAAGACAA
rnacentral:ncRNA from 2 species